AGCACUGCCUUUCUCUCAGUCCCGGAAUGGAUUCACCCUCAGUGGUCAGAGCUCGGCUUUUUUCCAUCCUGGAGCAUCAGUCCAGGGUCUCAUUAUACGUCCUAGGCUGGCUUCAAACUCCCGACUCUCGGAUCUCAGCCUCCCAUGUGCUGGUAUUAUAGGCCUGGAGCUACUACUACAUGUGGCCAAAGAGCUGAACUCUUUGUGGCUUUAGGGAUGUUUGCUGCCAAGCUAAAUGGGUUUUGGAGGUAAGCUAACUUUGUAUGUAGAGAAGAGACCCAGAGGAGGCUGUAAUCCAUCCCAGCCUCCCCCUCCCAGCAUGUGUUGAUUCUAGCUUGGGCUCCAUGGGUGUCCAGAUGCCUGAUACAUUCUCCAGGCCAAGGUAUAUAAGAACCUGUGGCCUGGGGAGGCGAGGACAGCUGGACAAACAGCUUAGAGGUUGUGGGGUCAGUUCCCUGCCGAGACUUAGUGCUCUUCUAGAGGAGUAGGUGGAGUGCUGAGGAUAGUGGGGCUCUCCUGCAAGCACCCUCCCUCUCCAAGUUUGUGCCUAAUCCUGCUCUGGGUAAGAAUGUCAUCUUCAGUUCCUGCUUUUGUCAGGGUUACUAUUGCUGUGAUUGACACCAGGACCAAAGCAACUUGGGGAGGCAAGGGUUUAUUUGCUUCCACUUCCAAAUCCUCGUCCAUUACUCAAGGAAAUCAGGACAGAAACUCAAGCAGGGCAGGGACCUGGAGAUAGGGUUGAUGCCGAGGCCAUGGAGGAGUGAGGAGCUUACAGGUCUACUCUUCAUGGUGUGCUCAUCCUGCUUUCUUAUAGCACCAAAAUCCGACAGUUAGAGUGUGGCAUCACCCACAGUGGGCUGGGCCCUCACUCAUCAAUCACUAAUUAGGAAAAUGCCAUCCAAGCUGGUGUACAGCCUGAUCUUAUGGAGGCAUUUUCUUAAUUGAGGUUCCCUCCUCUUUAAUGACCAUAGCUCGUGCUAAGUUGAUAGAAAGCUAGCCAGCACAGCUCCUGACCAGUCCCACGUCUGGCAGAGUCUAUAAAAGACUCCAGUGGAGACUCCUUGAACUGAACUGUGGCAAGAUCCCAAGAUUUUCAGAUCCAGGGACUGUCCCUUGAUGAUCUUGUGGUUCAUUAAAAAUUCAAGAAUGGAACUCCUCUGUGCUAAAUGGACCACUGCCUUAAACUCUGGUUGUUCUCAGCUCAGUGGGAGGGUGUCAGCUCUGGAAGCCCCUCCAGUCCCCCCGCAGAACCACUUAUCACUGGAACUGAGAGCUGUCACUCAGCUGAAAAUAUCUCCUGACACAGAUGAGACUGAGGCUCAGACACGAUGAUCUGGUGUCUGAUGAUCGCACAGCAAGCCUCAAACUCAACUCUUUUGACCCUUUUGUUCUCCCUACUGUGUGAAUUGCUGUCACAUAGGCCAGUUUUUCUGGGAUAAGUGCUGACUUCAUAUAACUACAGUGUGGGACUACAUGUGAUUUUUAUUACUUUGUGACACCUUUCAAAUAAAUAAUUUACAGAUCAAAGAAGACACUUUGGCUCAAAUUAUGUUCUGGAAGCAUGGGGUUGAAAUGACCCGGAGAGUUCAGAAGACUCCAGCUGCCUGCCAUCAUCCAAGCCGGAAAUUUCAGAGCCAAAGUGAACCUUGUGCCUUGUUCUUGGCUACCCCAGCCAGCAGGUAAUAGAAGCCUUUCCAAAACUGCUGUUUAAAAGCUAGAUUUGAACUGGGGAUGUAGCUCAUUGAUAGAGUGCCUGCCUAGCAUGCAGGAAGUCCUGAAUUUGAUUCCCAGAACCACAUAACAUGAGGCAUUGUGGCACAUAAGCAAUCCUAGCACUCAAGAUCAGAAGUUUAAGGUCAACCUCAGCUGACUAGUCAGUGAGUUGGAGGCCAAACUGGGCUACACGAGACCCUGUCUCAACAAAACAGCAAACCUCAUGAAUUAGGUAUGAGAUCAUUUACCUGUGAGGUAACCCAGAAGAGGCUCUGUAUUAGGUGGCAAUUCACUGAGGCACUUGUCCCUGCUCAGGGACAGACAGAGGGAAUAGAGGAGGCAGGAGGAACAGUACCAAUGGUGAAGAGGAGGAAUAGGGAUCUGUGUUUCACCCUGAAUCCUGACAGCAACAAUGGGAAGAACUUCCUGGGCAUCUUUCUUUCCCUCACUCCGUGUCAGCAAUGAACAUGCUGGAGUGGUGCAGGAAGUGUCAUGGCUAGGCCAUUUCAGGAGCCAUCUUGAAUUCUGGAGUGAUAAUAGAUGGGCAGAAGGUAGAGGCCAAUAAUUCACGCUGAGCCCAGUUCUUUCUCUGGUGGAGAUCAAGUGAAGCCAAGGAGAGGCAUUGCUGGCCCCAUCAUCAGCUAAUCUCAGGCUCUAUGGUUGAAACCCCACCAGCAGAUGUCAAGUUCGAAAAUGAAACCUGAUAACCUCACUGUAAAAGUCAGGUCUCCAAGGUCAGUGUGGCUGAUCCUGGCUGGGUACCAGCCCCAAACUGUUUAAAGGUUGGCAAGGAAGACUCCUGCAUCCAAACCAAGUGUAAAUGGAGUUUCCCAUGAGGUUGGGUGACAGGUCAGUGUGAGUGGGGGUUGGGGUGGGUAGCAGCGGGAUCUUUCUGCCCUCUCCCUCUCCUCCUGGCUCUUGCUCCUUCUCUCAAACUUAGCCCCACACUGCCUAUUUUCUUGACUCUCCUAUCCAAUAAAGUACUUUUCAU
rnacentral:lncRNA from 1 species